AUUGCACGCUGGCGGCAGGCCUAACACAUGCAAGUCGAGCGGAGCGGCGGACGGGUGAGUAAUGCCUAGUAAUCUGCCUGGUAGUGGGGGAUUACGUCCGGAAACGGGCGCUAAUACCGCAUCCUAUCCGAUGAGUCUAGGUCGGAUUAUCUGGUUGGUGGGGUAAAGGCCUACCUAGGCGACGUUCCGUAACUGGUCUGAGAGGAUGAUCAGUCACACUGGAACUGAGACACGGUUCAUACUCCUACGGGAGGAAGCAGUGGGGAAUAUUGGACAAUGGGCGAAAGCCGGUUCCAGCCAUGCCGCGUGUGUGAAGAAGGUCUUCGGAUUGUAAAGCACUUUAAGUUGGGAGGCGUUACCAACAGAAUAAGCACCUGCGUACCUCGUGCCAGCAGCCGCGGUAAUAC
rnacentral:rRNA from 1 species